rnacentral:rRNA from 1 species
UACGAAGGGGGCUAGCGUUGCUCGGAAUCACUGGGCGUAAAGCGCACGUAGGCGGAUUGCUAAGUCAGGGGUGAAAUCCUGGAGCUCAACUCCAGAACUGCCUUUGAUACUGAAGAUCUUGAGUUCGGGAGAGGUGAGUGGAACUGCGAGUGUAGAGGUGAAAAUUCGUAGAUAUUCGCAAGAACACCAGUGGCGAAGGCGGCUCACUGGCCCGAUACUGACGCUGAGGCACGAAAGCGUGGGGAGCAAACAGG